GGGAGCUGUUACAGGUGUUGCAGUUGGCUGUCGUCAGCUCGUGUCGUGAGAGUGUUCCGGUUAAGUCCGCUAACGAGCGCAACCCGCGUUGUGUGUUAUAUGUGUCACACAAUACCGCCGGUAUUAAGCCGGAGGAAGUGCGGAUGACGUCAAGUCAGCAUGACCUUUAUAUCCAGGGCUACACACACGCUACAAUGGACAGUACAACAGGUUGCCAAGCCGCGAGGCGGAGCCAAUCCUCUAAAAGCUGUCCUCAGUUCAGAUUGCAGGCUGCAACUCGCCUGCAUGAAGUUGGAGUUGCUAGUAACCGCAGGUCAGCUAUACUGCGGUCGAAUACGUUCCCGGGCCUU
rnacentral:rRNA from 1 species